rnacentral:lncRNA from 1 species
AUGCUCUCUUAUCCUUAAGGCUUUUUGAAUCCAAAGAAAAACAAUGAUUUCUUGUAGCCUAGCCCUAUUACAAGCUUAAGAAAGACCUUAGUGAUCCAUGAUUGAUAACAUGUCUUGUGAUUAUGUUGAGAUGUAUGUUUGAAUUGAUUUGUUGUGAACACAUUGCUUGGAUUGAGAGAAACACUACACCCUUGAGUUGAAACACUUGUGAGAAUUGUGAUUCUAGUUGAUUGUCUUGUUGAUUUGGAAUGUUUGAAAUCUUACUUGAAUUUUGAAACUAUUUCACAUUCAUGCUUUGAUUUCUUUGAUGAUUAUGAAGGUUUGAUUUUGAACUUGCAAUACAUUGAAUCAUGCAAACUUGAAAUGAUUGAAAUCCAAAGUUUUUGAUUGAUUACAAACCUUGACUGAAUUGUGCACUAUGAUGUUUGAGCCAUGUGNNN